rnacentral:antisense_RNA from 3 species
CUUGAUCGAACCGAGGUAGAGCGGCCGGUCCGCAGGGCGCUCCUCGCCGUACGUGGCGAUCAGCGCCUGCGCCUC